rnacentral:piRNA from 1 species
UUGGGUGCCUAUCGUAUUUGGCUUU